AUGCCAAGAAGAUAUAGUUAUACACAAAUUUUGGCCCAAAAACAUCUAAUUUGGGUUUGGCCAAAAUAUGUCAAAGGAAGGAUAGUAUCGUGUCAAUACAAGGGGCAUGAGGAAACUAUAGGAUAUAUGGCACCCGAAAUAUUUAGUAAAGCAUUUGGUGGAGUUUCUUGGAAGUCCGAUGUGUACAGUUAUGGAAUGCUGAUUCUUGAGAUGAUAGGAGGAAGAAAGAACUAUGACACUGGAGGUUCAUGUACUUCUGAAAUGUAUUUUCUAGAUAGAAUUUAUAAAGAUCUUAAGCAAGUAUCAAAAUAA